UACAGGGGGGGCAAGCGUUGUUCGGAAUUACUGGGCGUAAAGGGCUCGUAGGUGGCCAACUAAGUCAGACGUGAAAUCCCUCGGCUUAACCGGGGAACUGCGUCUGAUACUGGAUGGCUGGAGUAUGGGAGAGGGAUGCGGAAUUCCAGGUGUAGCGGUGAAAUGCGUAGAUAUCUGGAGGAACACCGGUGGCGAAGGCGGCAUCCUGGACCGGUAUUGACGCUGAGGCGCGAAAGCCAGGGGAGCAAACGGG
rnacentral:rRNA from 1 species